ACUGCCCGGCCAGCCCCGGAGGGAGGCUGGGCAGGUGCUGCGGGCUCUGCCGAAAGCGCUGAAAUAAAAAACCAUCGCCACUCAGGGAGAACUGAGGCAAGUGGGGCUGAGACUCUGGCGACACCCCCGCCCCCCAGCCUCUGCCCCAGCGCCUGCCGCCCUGCCGCCCUGCCGCACCCCGCCUGCUUGGGUGGCGACCGCGGUUCCGGAACGCGAAGCAGGGCAGAGGGCUGCAGAGAGGCGUGUAGCUUUGUGCGCCAGGACCCGGUGGGGCAGGUGGCAGCCCCGGGCUGUCCGCGCCUCCCAGCAGAGCCGAGCUCGGCGCCGCCCACCGAGCCCACCUCGCGGUCCAGCCGCCGCCAGCGCCUUUCGGCUCUGGCCUGAAGCAGUACUCCCGCCUCCUGGAGCGGGUAAGUUGAGAGUCCGGAGAGCAGGGCAGGGAGGCGGGGCGGCUGGUCCCAGAGCGGAGGGCCGGACUGGCUCCCCGCCGGGCUGGGGGCGCAGGCUCCAUAGGAUCUCAGUCGAGGGGUUCUGAGUGCGUGUUUGGGUGGGAAGCAGGGCUGUGGAGCGCCAGAGCUUCCCCUCCCAAAUUCCCAGGCGCUGGGCACUGGGGAGUGGAGCAGAAGCAGAGGGACCUUGGGUUCCGGGGCCCAGCGGCCUUCCACGCUGGUCUGGGAACCAAGCAAGCCCUAGGGCAGUGCGAGGACUGGGAAGGGACCCUGGGGGACCGCUAGAGGAGGUGGCGCGUGGAGGGCGCCUGCACCCUGGGGUCGCUCAGAGCGGAGAGUCUCGGGUGGAUAGGUCAGCUUGCAGAUCCUCUAGGUCUCUUCUCUGCUCUCUGGCCGCUCUGAUUGCGGGAUCUGGGACUUGGCGCCCGUACAGGCCGGGUCACCUGUGCAGAACAAAUUUGCUGCCAUCAUCCCCGCUUCAAUCCUGGCCCCGGCGAUCUAAAAUAUCGCCUUCAGGUGGGGCAGGGAGAAAAGAUGUCUUUGGGGUUUAAAUAGUGUUCUCCUUGUACCCGGACCAACUGGCAUUUAUUUACAAAUGUCACCCGCCACCCCAGCACUGGGAAAGUCUCAACCACAUCUGGAGAACGCCCGAGAGACCUCCCACUCUCUCCUUGUUUUGGGUUACAGGGAAAGCCAACGGGUCUGCAGGCCUCCGGGAGACGAGGAUCCGGAGGGUUGGGGCAGCUGCACCCACUUGGCCUUGCUCAGCUCUAAACAGCCGACCAGGAGGCCGGGGGAAGGUUUGCCCUGUGGGGGCAACGCCCCUUCCGGCUCCCAGGAUGUCGGGAGGCGGAGGCUGGCCGGGUGGCCCGUAGUCUGGGCCUCCCCGCAAGCUGCAAACUGAGGCGCUUGGCGCGGGCGGCCAGGGAGGGCGCAGGGGAGCGCAGCACGCAGGCGGGGAGGCCGCGAAGCCCUUCAAGGACCCCGAUUACUUUCCUUUGAAAAACAACAACAACAACUGCUCCCUCCCCGCACCCCCGCCCCCCGCCUUAGCCUCCGGGGACUGGCGCUCCAAGCAAUUGUCGCCCCGGACAGUAAACACAGCUCAGUUGCCUCAACUUUCUCCAUGCAUAAAAGUUCCUGGCGUGCGGGGAAAUUUGAAUAUUUGAUCAGCCCCUUUGAGUGACCCUCAUUAGUCCGGCGCCCUGCUAAGGCCGGGCAUUGCAAGAAAGCUGCUGGGCUCGGCAUUUGUACGCCUUGUUAGCGCAGCUUAAUGAAGCCGCCCCGACGGCUCAAAGGCGGCCUCAGGGGCCGGCGACGCGCACCUCUCGGCACCCUGCUCUGCCUAAUGAGCCCCGCCGCCCUCUAAAGGACCCUCCACCCCCCACAUUCUGAAACAGGGGAAGUUUGGCUCUGUCUUGAACCACGGCACCUCCCACUGCCAGGCCCAGGAGGGUGGGCACAAACCCAGCCUAGCUGCCUGCAGUUACCCAUUCCCAAGAGAGAGGGGCUGGAGAGUUGGGAGGUGUGAGCCAUACUGGUUGGGGGCAGUGCAGGGAGGGGAGCGGGUGGCAGGAGAGGCUUUUGCUGUCUCAGGAUCCAGCCCAGGGAGUGCACUGCCAGCCUCUCCCAAGUGGACCAAUUGCAAAUCAAUUAGUCACUCCAGUUCCUUAAAGGUGCAUCUGGACUAAUGCUGGGGUGGCUGAGGGUCAGCCUUCCAUCCUCCUAUCACCUUAGGUUCCCUUGGCUUCCACUGCCCAGAGGCCACACACUUCUUCCCAAGGUUCCCCUUCUGAACAGCCAGACCUGGUGUGCCAGGACUUGGAUUUGAGAAAGGGUGGGCAGCUCCCCUCCCUAACCCAUCAUUGCCUCCACCAUUCACAGAGCCCAGUCACAUGUUAUGACAAGUGGCAGUAGGGAAGGCAGGGGACCACAGCCCGUCCUGCACUCCCCCUCAACAGAGGUAUCCCUUCUUUGGCUUCUAGUCCCAGGGAGGCCUGGCAAAAAAAGUGCUAUAGGCAAGACCACCCUGCAAGACUGGCCUGGCAGCCUGGCAGAGAGGCAGAGAGCCAGAGCCCUGGAAGGAAGGGAAACCAAAGCAGUCAUCUACUUCACCUUUUCUUAGUGGGGCAGCUGACAUGGCUGGCCAGUAAAUAUAAGACACCCUCUUAAAAAUUGUGCUUCAGUCCUCAGGAAGUGUAGCCUUCCUUCCCUUUCUGUCUCCCCUCUCCUCUGAUGCCCUUUUCCCUGGACAGUCGGAGCUCAAGGUCCUUCACUCCCUCCUUGCAUACACAGCUCUUGGGCCCUUAAGGGUUACUUUUGGGGGGAAUUAAUGCUCUGGGCUUGGGAAGCAGGCUGCUCCAAAUCCACACUCAGGACUUUCUGGACCCCACCCCCCAACACACAAACACAAACAUGCCCAGGAUCCCUCAGACACACAGUGGGCCUGGUCAGGUUGGUAACCUCAGGACCCCGUGCCCGCGUGAGCGUCUCUGGGAGGUCGUGGAAAGGAACCAAAAGGCCAGGUAGGCCCUGGGAUACAGAGAGCCCUCCAAGUCCAUCUGGUUUGCUUCUCUUCCUUUCUCUCUCCCUAGCUCCGCUAGCAUGCCCUGCCCCAUUUCCCAUCACAUAACCCCCUAACUUAACCCUAAACUGGCAAUCUUUAGGCAUCACCUCUGAGCUGGGCAAAGGCGGUGCCCGGGCCUUGAUCGACCCAGAGGGCUAAAGUAGGGGCGGGGAAGGGAGGGGUGUGCGCUGCUGGUGAGAAAGGGGACCUGAGGCGAGGGUAGAACUCAGCCCUGUGGCCUCGAGGCCAGGCCCACCGGCUGCUCAGGGGAGGAGGCGAGGGGAGGGGGCUGGGAGUCCGCAGGCAUCGGUCGGGGCAGCAGGGACCUCAGGCGUCGGCGUGGGGGGCUAGAUCCGGAGGAGAGGGGAGGGGAGGCGGGGGUCGGGGGAUCGCGCAGGGCGGAGGAGGGGUGCAGCUCUUUAAGAGCCACACGGCUGGCAGGAGAGGCGCGCGGCCCGGUGCUGGUAGAGCACUGACCCCGAAGGGGAUUUAGCGGGAAGAGAGUGGCCGGGCUCUGGGGGUUUUGUCCGAGGGGGCCGGGAGAGGCCGAGACACAAGAAUAAGGAGCGGCCGCGGCAUGAAAGGCGGCGAGGAGAGGCAGCACUGCUGCUCUUGACUUCUGAGCAGGGCUUAGAGAGCCUGCCCCGGCUUAAGCCGAGCUGCUGGUGCUGACCCUGAGCGCCGAGUCCGCGAGCUCUGAGUCCGGAGCCUCCCAGCCGUGGAGCCGUGGGAUGAGGGGGGCGUUGGGGGACAGGGCAAAGUCGAUCUUGGUUGUACAGCCGCCCGAUCCUAGCGCGGAGCUGCGAGCCUGACCGGCCGCGUCUGGCAUGGUCAGAGAAAGAAUUUUCUUUUCCCAACUCCGGCUUUUGGUUUUGUGUGUCCACCUUGCGCAACUCCGGAGCCAGCCGACCCCACAUGGAUUCUCAACAGGUGGCCGGGUAAGUCCGUUUAAAGAAUUCUGGUUAUAUGGUCAGCCCCUCCCCGACCUUCUUCCUUUUCCCCUCCCUCUUCCCCCUUUGGCUGGGCCGGGUUCCCCGUGCUCCUCCCGCAGGCGACGGCUGGGGUGGUGGUGGGGGAAGAGGCGCCCUUCCCCUGGGGGUCUCUGGGCUCCGAGUUGCAGCCCAGGAAGCCUGGCGGGCGGCCCCCAAGGAGUUCCACCCGGUACCCCCAAGUCCCGAUCACUCUUAGCUCCUUGGUCUGGGCCCUGGCGCCCUGAGAGGGGGAGGGAGAAAGAACGCGCAGCAGCACCUCAAAAGCCGAAGUCCCCGGGAAGGGGGACAGGGGACCCGGUGGCCGGGCAGCCUUUGUGUGGGGGUUUACGGCGGAAACAGAACUAUUCUUCUUGUGUGAGAGGCCCGGGAUGUGGCCAGGGGGAGCCCGCGCCAGCCGUACAAUAGCCGGCAGAAGAGCGCCUCAGCAGCCGGGGUAGGAGUGGGGUAGGGUGGGGUAGACCUGGGUGGGGGAGGGGAGGGCGAGAGAAGAGGGAGGGGAAGCAGAGAAAGGCAAAGGCGAGAAAUCCAGGGCGUCCGAGUGAAAAGUCGGAAAAUGUUUCCAGAGCGCGCCACAAACAGGCGCGCGCGCGCGCUUGCGGGCGCAUAGUCUCUCUGUCUCUCUCUCGCACACACACAAACACACUCUUACAUGCUCACACUCAUUCCACACAUGGAGCCCACGCACGCGGUUCCUAGUCGUGCAGGGUCGCAUGCCUGGGCACCCAAAGUGAACGCAGAGUAGAGCCGCCCUCCCACCCCCACCAACGGAGAGCCCUCCCGCCCAGCCACAGGCUCCCCGACUGGGGAGCUAGGAGGGCCCCCGGGGCUGGGGCACAGGGAGGAUCUUACCUGCCGAAAGGUAAGGGAAGCCGGGAGCACGGAGCAGCGGCGGAUAAAUAUUCAUUAGUAAGUCUCUCCUUUUAAGCCGCGCGGUGCGCUCUCUGGCUCCUAUCUCUCUUUCCCUCCCUCCCUCUGUCCUCUUGUGAGCCUCUCUCCCCCUCUCGCUCUGUCUUCCCCCCACCCCUUCCUGCGAAAUGCCGGGUGGAUCCCAGUAUAGCUAACCUGUUGGGAAGCCUGAGCCGCGGGCAGCGCCUCCACAGCUGUUUGCUUUUGCUCUUGGGGCGCGCGUUUCCCCAUCCUCUCCCCUCUCUCCUUUUGCCCAGCCCCUCUCCCCCUCCUAAAUUACUACAUCAUUAGCUUUAUUUGGUGGGGGGACAGCUCAGCCAAACGCACCUCCCUAUAGCAGGGUGAAAAGCCGCUGCUCCCCGAGGCAGCCCCAACUCCACCCCUACCCCUGCCUCACCCAUCUCCAUGUCCCUACCCAGUUUUGUUUAUUUUUCUUCUCUCUUUCCAUCUUCACUUCCGUCCUGUACCGACCCAACUCCCUUACCAUUCCUCCCUUCCUCGUCGCUGCCAAUACGGAUCCCAGACGGGGUCGGGGCAGGGAGAUGCCAAGUGAGUAGGUCCAAUAUGCCAAGGUCGGGACUCCACCCUGCCAUGGGCGUGGGGGUAGUCCUCCAGGUCCCCCUUUCCCACGUAGGCUUUCCACCCUGACCCUAAGUGGGUACCGGGGCAGCUUGGGCCUUGGGAUCAGAGCACCAGGGCGCACAGCAAGGGCCUCAGCCCUCCAGGCCUCAGCGACCUGGAGCCUGGGUCCUUUGACCCGGUCUGGGAGACUGCAUGGCGGAGGGGAGGUGGCUUCACUUUGUACGAAUGCUCAGGAGAGACACAACCACCGACCAUCGGACUGACGUUCUCCCUUUUCAAACAAACUGACCUUAAGUCAGCAGUAAGUCUGCAUCAUUCUCACGAGAAAACACAUCUACAAGAUUCUAGAAAUGCACAAGGAACCGCUUCUAGUCGCGCGUGAACACGUGCACACACACCACACCCCUCACCCCCACACACCCGAGGCCACCGUUCCCGCUGGCCUCUGAAACCUGUAGGCGCGCAGGCCCGAAAGGCUAAUUCUAGCGGAGGAAUACAUCGCAAAACCGCCCCAGGAGAGCCCUGGCCACUCUUGUUGGCCCCCAUUCUUCCAGAUCCAGGCCUCUAGGAUGCCCCAGGGACCCUGAAGGAUGGUGAGGCCCCAGGGUGCUUGGGGGUGGUCCGGGAAGCUCACUCUGGCAGCCCGCUGAGCGCUGCGUGUUGAGGUAGGAGCUGGAGGAGGGGCCAAGGGAGGCGGGCCCAGGCCAAUUCCAAGUUACAAAUACAGCUGCUCCUGCGAGGCCUAGGAGAGUUUUGCCCCAAAACGUGCAUAUCAUUCGCCCCGAGACGCCAUGACCUCCCCAGACAUAGCCCCAGGGCGCACUCGACCUCGAGGUGGCUUGGGUGAUGGGAGCAAUCGAGAGCCAGGAGACGACCUCGAGACCUCCGCCCGCCCAUUCAGCCCGGCCCAGCCACAGUCCACCGAGAGACGCCCUAGAUGAUGGUCCUAUCCUUCCCAAAGGGUGGCAAGGCGCAGGAUCGCGGAGGGUCUCCCUCCUUGUCCUGAAAGGUUAAGAAAUUGGGCAGAUGAAGGUAUUUAAAAGAGGCCUAGAGGGCCCUGGGGCCGAAAGCCCUAUCAACCUCACACUCCACCCAAAGUCCCGCGUUUGCACGUGCACACCUCCUUCUCCCCAUGCAGACCCAGGGGGUCGCGCACGUUUGAGCUCAGACUCAAGCUGAGUCACCUGACUAUGCCUGGAACGUACAGGCAAUCGUACCGAAUACACAUGGGAGAAUUAAAGGAACACUACGGGAGAAUUAAAGGAACACUAACAGGAAUUUGAGGAAUAAAGAAGUGCCCACAGGCAUAAUUAUUUGAAUACACGGGUGCACACCCUGUUGUCCAGAUGCAGACAAAAGCCACAGUGCCUGCGAGGAGUGACCCCAACCACAAGGGCAGAUGUACAGGAAGCCGUGAACGGGAGAGUUCGCCGAAUGAGGACGCAGGCCGCAAGGCCAAGGGGGCUUCCUGCUAGAGGGACGUUGGCUCGGAGGGAGAAACUUUGUUGAGCCGACUGGGUGAAAGGUUUCAGGUCAAGUCCUGGCCACUAGAAAGAACCAAGGCCUCAUCCACUCAGAGCCAACCUUUUAGCCUUCCUCUCAGCUCUGUUGGAGAUACCCAGAAAAGGACAAUCCAGGAAAGAUUCAUUUUGACCGAGAUUGUUUUUAUUGUUUAUUUCUUAUUAUUUUUGACCUAGGGGUUUGCAUUCUGAAAAAGGAUUUGGGUGGCGCGUAUGCAAGUUCUCACUCACUGCUGGGAGAUUCAUAAUUCUUAAUAGGAACAUUCAGCUCUAACCAUGGCCUGAGAAGCUGGAGGGCCCUUAUUUUGCCCCUUUCACCCUUCUUAUCCUAAACUUGAUCAUUCAAAAGGAUCCACACCCUCCUGCCCCCAACUCCACCCCAAUACCCUGUAUGUCAGAUAUGUUUGCAGAAGAACACACUUCAAAGUAAACCAAAUUACAUAGUUUAUUUAAAAAAAUUUUUUGUGAUAUAUUGGGAAGUCCUCACCCCCUGCUCCCCUGUCUCUGGCUGAGCACGGUGUCCGGGCGGAGUUGGGGGGUUGCCAAGAGGAGUUUCCAGAGUGGCUCUUGGGCAAGGCCUGAGAAACUACUCUACAUAGGCUUGUUUUUAGUGUGAGCUCCCUUUGCCUAACCAGUUCUAGUGGCUACCUCCCGGUUUCCUGCAGAAGAGGCAGGCUCCCUGGGAGCAGGGGCGCCCUCGCUUCCACUUCACCUCCUUUCCUAACUUUCUCUCUUUUGAGCACAUCUUCUGAGCCUCGCUCUCUCAUCUGAAAGUGGAGUGUAAGUCCAAGAAGAUUCAUUUAGACAAAGAAGGUGGAAAAAAAGGACUUUCUGGGCCAGCAAGUCGGAUGACCACCCUCCAAGGGGCAGAGGAGGGCCCAUUUUGUGAAGAAGAAAUCAACUACCCGGAAAACGCCACAGGAGGACAUGUUUCUGCAGAUGUAGUUGCCCUAGAAACAGAAGAGUAUGGGGGUGUGAAUGUCUUCUCUUUUGGGGGCAAACACUAUGUCCUUUUCUUUUUCUAGAUACAGUUAAUUCCUGGAAAUUUUAGCGAGUUUGUUCUUGUGGAUAUUUUGAACAAUAAAGAGUGAAAAUCACUUUGGAGUCACUUAAUCUUCGUUAGAAGGGCAGUUUCUUCCAGGGCCAUUUUCUUUCACCAGAUUUGUUUUUCCUCGUUCCCAAAUGAGGUAGUUUUAAAAAUCAAAGUCCACUUGCUAACUCACCUGGGAAAGAGACUGCGACAGAAGGAAGAGAAGUAAAUAGACAUCACUCUCAAACUAAAAGUGUAACUUUCAUUCCUGGCAGCUGAGAUUCAGAACACAAAGAAACAAACUCGUUUACCUUUGAGUAUUUCCCCCGUUUGGGUAAUUUAUCUAGAGCUUUCCCAACAAUUAAUCACAGCAUCUUGAAGUUGGAAAUGUAUGCUAUUAUUUUCAGCCUUACAAGGUUCGUCAAACUCUGCUUCUCUGGUUUUAAAAACUGUUUGCUUCUACAUAGCUAUGCCCGUUGCAACAUUUAUCACUCAAGCAGAAAAGCAACUCGUUUUCUCACAGCCUCAAAUGCCCCGUGUACAGUCACUGGAGCGAAUUUAUUUUUCUCUGUCUUUCCCAAAUGCCCUUGUCACCUCUGCCAGGGCCACAAGACUCGGGGCAAAACUUCGGAGGUUUGAGACCUCUUGAGUGUGUGGAUCGCUAUUAUUGUUAGUUUUUUUGUUGGGAGAAAUCGUGCUCGGUGAUCGCGUGCGGUUGUCUCUCUCUAAGCCGACUAGGGUUGCCUGCGCCUUCCUCAGCAGAAACUCCUAGAGGAAGCUAACCAUUUCCGCUGCCCGGGGCAAAGGGCUGAACGGUGUUGUCGGGUCUAGGGUUGGGGUGGGAAAGUGAGGACGGUAUGCGGAUCGGGGAGGGGGCAGUCAUCAUCUUCAACAAUAAAUUAAAAUAACCUGAUACCCCUUUAAUCCCUUCCAUCAACAGUGUCAACGCGCUAGAGAGGCCGUCUCACCUCCAAAGGUAUCUUCACUCCCGGAGGGCCCGGGCUCCCAGCCGCAGUCCCACACUGGGCCCGCGCGCCGGAUACGAGGUGCUCCGACGGCAAAAAUCCCAUACAUUUUUAACUACAGUGAUUACUAAAUUAAUAGCAGGCACUAAGACAGAUGUCAAAACGUCUUGAAAAUGUUUAUCUGUGAAUAAUUGAGAAGGUGGUGGGACGCAUUAUCUGAUUGUGUAAUGAAAUAUGUAUGAGGAACAGCUGUUUGCAACAGUCCCCUCCCGCCGCCUCCUCAGCCAAGGCCCUUCUCUAGGAAGCAGGAGUCGCGGCGAAGUUGGUCGCCUACUUCCGUCCACUUGGGAGCCCUCGCGGCCCCUCCCCGGCUGCUGGCAGAAUGGUGGCUCCAGCGCGCCCCAGAGUAGUCCGGUUUCCCGACGGACAACAGCAUGGAGUCCUCCUCAGCCUCGCUCUGUGGGCUCCGUGCCUGAGUGAGGCUCCACCGCCGGCCGCGCUGUCCCUCGCGCCUUCGGGGCCGGCCGCGGGCUCGGCCUGCGGGGACCGAGGGGAGCACUGGCCCGGGCGGCCGCGGAGGCCUGACGUGCGCCCACCGGGCGGUGCGGCCUGCUCGGAGGCGAGGCCCGGGAGCCCCGCGGCUCAGCGGGGCGGGCCUGGGGUCACCGAGGGGUGACGGGGCUCCGGAGAGGGCUUUGUUCGCGCUCUCGCCACACUGCGCACUUCCUUCCAGCCCCCUGCGGCCCCCACCCCAAACCUCCGCGCCCCCGCCCUGUUUGUUUUUCCAGCCCCGCGCCCUCCACCCCAACACGCAAACAGCCCUCGGGGCUGCGUCAGCGGCCUGAGGCCGUGGCCCAGGUCAGGCCUGAGUCCAAAUGGGGCCAGCACGGCGAGCCCUGGCCCCGCAGGAAGCGGUGUGAGGGGGAGAGGGAGCUCCAGGGCCUUCCUGGCGCGAGAGGGGCAGGCGAAGGCCGGGGGGAAGGUGGUCCAAUAGGGCGCACGGCCUGGGCGGGCGGCGAAGGCCCGAGGCCUGGGCUCGGAAGGGUGCGGGCGGCCUGCGCGGCUGCCCAGCCCCUGCCGCUGUCCCCAGCCCCAGCUGGACAGGGGAGGCGCGGCGGAGUGGGGGUGAGGAGGACGCCAGGAAGGGCCCCAUCGGGCCUGGGCCUUGAAGGCAGUGUCACCCACAUGGACAAACCCGGUGCCCCGUGCGGGUGUGGGGACCCCCUCGCCGCCUUCCCUGCGCUUCGCCCCGCCCGGAGACCGCGUCCCGGGCGCGGCGCUUCCCGAAGCUCCCAGCCGGGCCGUGGCUUGCCCGCGUCCUCCGCCUCCACGGCCUCUCGGCCCCUCAUCUUCCCCAGCUCCGGGGACCCGUCCCUAGCCCCUGACGCCCGGGAAGCCUGGCUCCGAAACCUUCGGCCGCGUUGGCCUUCCGGCGCCGCUGUCCCGACCGCUCUGGGGCCGGGGCCAGGGCCGGGAGCGGAGGAACCGAGUCCGGCUUUGCGGCCCCGUGGCGCCCCGACACCCUGCGCCUUCGCAGUCUCCCUAGGCUGACUCAGUCGAGAUGCGCUCGGGCGUUAUGUCUGGAGCGUCGCCCUUUUACCUAAUCCCUUAUGCUUUUAUUCUAAUCCUACACAUUACAGUUAAUCUGUAAUGAUACCGCUUUGGAGGAACCUGUUGCAUACGAGGCUCGGCAAUUUGUAACCUUGGAAACAGUUUUAAAUAAAGAUUAUAAGAGUGAUGUCAACUGUGUUUAUUCUCCACGCGGGGGGUGGGUUGGGGGCAAGGCAGCCCCUCGGCGGAGAGGACGGAGUUUCGGGAGAAGGGGUCGAGGCGCGAGGGGCAGGGCGGAGCGGCGGCCGGGGGUCGGGGAGGCGGAGGAGCAGCCAGAGCUGGCUCUAAGUGACUCCAGCCCGGCGCCUGGCAUCUUUUGAGUUUUUCUUUUUGGGAAAUCGCGUGGUCUUAAACCGCGAGGCAUGGGGAGAGGGAAAAGGAUUUGCAAAACUGCGGAAAACUCGGUGAACUUGCGCUCCUGUGUAUCCCAAAUUAGCAUUCAGCCGGGCCCUGCGCGCCUGGAUCGCUGAAGCUGCGCAGAGAGAAAGAGCGGCUUGCAGGACCCUUGGGCUGCAAGAAGGCAGAGCUGCCUCGGUCCGGUUGCUUUGCGCUUCGAGCUUCCUACUCUGCUAAGCGCACUGGCAACAGCAGCAACAACCAAAAGUUGCCGGCACACCAAAAGCAAAAUUAAACAUAAUUGCUUUUAUGUAUCUAUUGCUUUUAUAUCAUUAAAAUAUUUUUAGUUACAUUGUGUAAAAUGGCAUCCACUCUGAUUAUUACCUGCCAUAUCUGUUGAUCUGCUCCUUGUGUAUGCAGCAUAGCAAUAUUAACAAUUAAGAAAAAAGCACAUCAUAUA
rnacentral:lncRNA from 1 species